UAUUAUUUCUAGGCUUUGUUUCUUGAAAGGCUUCUGGGUGUAUGGUUUAAAUGGUCAUCCACAGAGAUCUGGGUUAUCUUUCUAUCUUCCUACAGCACCUUGCAGAAUGUGAAUCUCAAGGAUUUAUUAAAGUGACUUCUGUUUCACUCCAGUUAAAAUGCAAUCAAUUUGAGUCCUAAAGAGGAGCCCAGAAUGCUCUUGCCCUAGUCCCACAGGCCCGUUUAUCCCCCUCUCCCUCCCCAACCUGUGUCACUGAAGUCUGUCUCUUCCUCCCCCAGAGGUUGAUCUACCUUGUCCCACAAGCCUUCUCCCCCCAUCCCCACACCCCCCGCCCCCACUUGCUGGUCUCUGGUGAACCAGAGUAUCUGGCCUGAAACCCAAAUGGGGGUUGUAGGCAGGAACCCAUCUCAGUCUGAGCACAGUGUUGUACCUGUUUUCGUUUCUAAAAUUAUUGAACGCAGUAUCAGAGGUUUAUGAUGUUACACAUAUUCUUUUCUUCCUCACCUCUUACUACUAUUAAAAAUCCUGUUAUGCUCUGGAGCCCAGGACGUCUGUCUACAUCCAUCACCAGGAAGCUUAUUGCAGUAUUGUGCAAUUUGGCCCUAAUUCUGCAGCACUCGAGAAAAUCAGACAGACCUUAAUGGAACUUUUAUAAUGUUCAAAGCUUCAAAGAUGAGCCACUUGUACCCCUGCCAUGGAUGAGCUCACAGCUCCAAUGGAGAAGACACAGGAGCAAACUGAACUGACCAUAGGAUAUGGGACCAAAUCAUAUGAACACUGUCAAGAGCUGACCCCAAAUUUCUCAGAAGUAGGAAAACAUUCAAUGGGAGUGACUGCCUGGGUAUUGGGUUGACCCUGUGACCGUGCAUCGUUAUGCAGAUAACAUCCCUCUGUACCACUAGAUGUUUGGCAUCUUACAUUUCAUUUUGGAUGGGCAAGACUACUGGAAUAGGAAUUACUUGGAACUGGUUCAUUAUGUAUUAGUAGGAUAUUGGUACAUACUGCAUUGGGAAGACUAAUGACAGCCUUGGGGGGUGUCAUAGCUUGAUAGUUUAAAGAUUAGCUUCAAGUCAUUAAAUUUGUCCAGU